GAUGAACGCUGGCGGCGUGCCUAAUACAUGCAAGUCGAGCGAACAGAUAAGGAGCUUGCUCCUUUGACGUUAGCGGCGGACGGGUGAGUAACACGUGGGUAACCUACCUAUAAGACUGGAAUAACUCCGGGAAACCGGGGCUAAUGCCGGAUAACAUUUAGAACCGCAUGGUUCUAAAGUGAAAGAUGGUUUUGCUAUCACUUAUAGAUGGACCCGCGCCGUAUUAGCUAGUUGGUAAGGUAACGGCUUACCAAGGCAACGAUACGUGGCCGACCUGAGAGGGUGAUCGGCCACACUGGAACUGAGACACGGUCCAGACUCCUACGGGAGGCAGCAGUAGGGAAUCUUCCGCAAUGGGCGAAAGCCUGACGGAGCAACGCCGCGUGAGUGAUGAAGGUCUUCGGAUCGUAAAACUCUGUUAUUAGGGAAGAACAAAUGUGUAAGUAACUGUGCACGUCUUGACGGUACCUAAUCAGAAAGCCACGGCUAACUACGU
rnacentral:rRNA from 1 species